GACGAACGCUGGCGGCGUGCUUAACACAUGCAAGUCGAACGGAAAGGCCCUGCUUUUGUGGGGUGCUCGAGUGGCGAACGGGUGCGUAACACGUGAGUAACCUGCCCUUAACUUUGGUAUAACUUCAGGAAACUGGGGCUAAUACCGGAUAGGAGCUCCUGCUCCAUGGUGGGGGUUGGAACGUUUCGGCGGUUGGGGAUGGACUCGCGGCUUAUCAGCUUGUUGGUGGGGUAGUGGCUUACCAAGGCUUUGACGGGUAGCCGGCCUGAGAGGGUGACCGGCCACAUUGGGACUGAGAUACGGCCCAGACUCCUACGGGAGGCAGCAGUGGGGAAUAUUGCACAAUGGGCGGAAGCCUGAUGCAGCAACGCCGCGUGCGGGAUGACGGCCUUCGGGUUGUAAACCGCUUUCGCCUGUGACGAAGCGUGAGUGACGGUAAUGGGUAAAGAAGCACCGGCUAACUACGUG
rnacentral:rRNA from 1 species